AUGCACCACGCGUGCAUUCUGGUUCCUACGCGCCGUCCACCCACCUGACGAGCGCUCGCAUGUUUGCUAGUC
rnacentral:sRNA from 1 species